UAAUGAUGGCGGCGCUGUCUCCAGCAGAGACUCAGUGAAAUCGAAAUCGCAGUGAAGAUGCUGUGUACCCGCGGCUAGACGGAAAGACCCCGUGAACCUUUACUACAGCUUUACAUUGAACUUUGACCUUACCUGUGUAGGAUAGGUGGGAGGCUUUGAAGCAGGCACGCCAGUGUCUGUGGAGCCAUCCUUGAAAUACCACCCUGGUAAUGUUGGGGUUCUAACUCAAGCUUAACAGAGCUGAGGACAAUGUAUGGUGGGUAGUUUGACUGGGGCGGUCUCCUCCUAAAGAGUAACGGAGGAGUACGAAGGUGCGCUCAGAACGGUCGGAAAUCGUUCGAAGAGUAUAAAGGCAAAAGCGCGCUUAACUGCGAGACCCACAAGUCGAGCAGAUACGAAAGUAGGUCUUAGUGAUCCGGUGGUUCUGUAUGGAAGGGCCAUCGCUCAACGGAUAAAAGGUACUC
rnacentral:rRNA from 3 species